AAGAAUUAAAUGGAUGAAAUAUGAAAUUUUAUUAAAAGAAAAAGGGGUGAAAAGAACAAAGUUUUGUCCAUCUUUGUUCAUCAUAGCCUAAAGUUAGAGAAGAGAAAGGAGAGGAGAAAGCUCUUAAAUGUUUGGUCACUUGGGGAAGAAAAUUGAAGGCGGUUCGUGUGUGGAUCUCGUCAGCAUAUCAUCGCAAACAGAUGUGUAACUAACACCCUCUUUCUUAGUCUGGAUCGGCAAAAGUCGAAAAGCCAAAAUGCCGAAAACUGAUAUUUUGUAGAUUUGCGAGUGUGCGAAUGCUCGUGAGGUAAAUCGAUUAAUGUUUUUGGUAAA